UUUCAUUUUAACGUCCUCUGUGAUUUAAGGGAAUUGGUCACGAGAAAGGUUUGGUGGAGGAUGCAGAAACUUUCUUUCCAGUACCCAUAUGUGACAGUGUGCUGGGAAACCUUCACAAAGCCCUUCAGCCCUGUCAGAAGAAGCCUGUGGAACUGGAGCAUAACAGAGGAAGACAGGGCAAGCUAAGAAGCAGCAACUGAAAGGAAAAUCUUCAAGUUUGUGGCUAUCAGAGCAAAAGGCAAAAAGCAGAAAAACACAGAAGACAGAAAUCUCAGGAGACAACAGUCUGCCCCUGUUUGACUUUCUCACCAGUUUGGAGACUUCUCUCUGGACACCACAUCAAAGGGCUUCAAUUGCUUCCAGCUCAGCAUUGUUCUUUGGGGUGACAAAAAGUCAAUGAGAAAAGAGAACUUCGAGCUAGGUGAAGUUCCCAGCAGCCAAUAAUGCCCUUGGGAUCCUGGACCCUCUUAUGCCCCUUACGCACCUGAAGUUCUGUACUUAGCCAGCCACACCAUGAUAUAAAGCAGAUGACCCCAAUCAGAGAACCAGUAAAUAUAUAAAGCAGUUCGAAGUAUGUGCCACAUGAAAGUUGCCAUUUAUAUUUCAAUAUUUCAAAGCAGUAAAUUCACCUUUUGCAAUAAAAAAUUCGAGGUGUACAUGUACAAGGAAGGACCUGGAGUAGAUGUCUCGAGUAAAACAUCAUCUUGGAAGGUGUAUCUGCAUGCAGAGAAGAACGUGUGUGUUUUCAAAUCUGAACUGCGUGUGUCCAGCAUUAUAUGAGGUAAAUUCUUUUGCAAGAGGAGAGAAGACUGCUGAAUUAUCUAAAAUUUACUCUCUCCCUACAUGUCCUUUCAGAGCCUUUUAAAAUUUUCCAUAGUCCUGGACUCUAUGACAAUCUAGGCAGGGAAUAGAAACCGUAUUGUUUAGCACCGGUGACCAGUCACAGAGCAUAUUUGAAGCCUGAACAAAAAUGCUUGGAGGUAUCGAUACGAUUCAGCAACCCAUAGGCCAGAAAAUUAUUUUAUUGAACCUCUUUACCACAUGGUUAUAAAAAAAGACUGUAAAAAAUGCUAUCCAUUUGUGGUCAGAAGUAUCAAGUACAACAAAUUACACUUACUGAAUACUUCAGUUACUGUACUUGGCAGUGAAUUUGCUUUAACUCCGGGAGAGCAUGAAAUCUUUAGAAGAGAUGUGAACCAGUUGUGCAAUACUAGACUUUUUGCUCCUCGGGCCGUAGUCCUGCUCCCAAUUCCAUAUUCACUGUGCCUAUCAAGAGAUGCAUUCUGUUAAGAAAACAGAAAAUUCUAGCAGUUCCUAACUACAGAAGGCAGCACAACAGCUAAGAUAUUUGGGAUGAAACCACCAUGAGACAACUGCAGUUCCAGCAGGAUUUGGCUCAAGGAUCAUGUGGGAAGCCUUUCCCCUGCCAGACCAGUGAUGAAAAAGAGACGGGGGUAAGGGGCACACAAGUUCCAAGUUGUGAAUCACCCCUCGUGCUGGCCAAACCCUGCAGACGGAAAUAGGAAGGAAGUGACCACUGAGGCUGAGCUCUGCAACCUUACUUUACCCAGUCCCCACUUGGAAGAACUGUGCUUUGUUUCCCUUUCUGAAAUAUGCCUUUUCGUACAGCAUUUGCCAUCAUUAAUUGGAGCAUCUCUCUCCUGCAUCCUAAUCAAACAGUGCUGGCAAAGAAGAAUCAGUAUUAUGAGCAAGGUCUGACAUGUGCUGGCCAAUUCAAGCCACAAAUUGCUUGCCUCAGGCCUGGCAGGUAGGGGUCUCCAUUCAGUUUUAUUCAGAAUAAAAUUAUUAACAGUAAUUAAGCAUGUCUAGACCAUCCAGAAAAGGAAAGAGCCCCUGUUGCUGAAAGGGUGAGCUUAACUCUCAAUUUCUGUUUCUCCCUCAAAUACAUUUAGAACACUGACACAAUCUCCUACGGGAGGAAAAUACCACCAGGUAAAAGAUAGCAGCAAACACGUUAAAAUCGGUGCUACACCAAAAAUCAAGAAGAGGUGAAGAACAGCUGAGAAACCGUUCGAAGUCAAAACUGCACGCAUCCAGAGGUGCCCCACGUCUUAGCAAGUAUCUCCUUCAGUCAGGGAGUUCCUGCUUCAGGGCACAGGCAUGCCGCGCCAGACCCAAAUGUCCCACAACAGAAGUCAGCAGGGAGGAGUGGGAUUUGGGCCAAACCUGCAGUGGAAAUGUACGUCAGCCACAAAGCGGCUUCCAAGUCUGGGCUGUAAUGUUGCCCAAGAGUAGUACA